GUGUCAGCAGCCGCGGUAAUACGUAGGGUGCGAGCGUUAAUCGGAAUUACUGGGCGUAAAGCGUGCGCAGGCGGUUCGUCAAGUCUGAUGUGAAAGCCCCGGGCUCAACCUGGGAAUGGCAUGGGAAACUGACGGGCUGGAGUAUGGCAGAGGGGGGUGGAAUUCCGCGUGUAGCAGUGAAAUGCGUAGAGAUGCGGAGGAACACCGAUGGCGAAGGCAGCCCCCUGGGCCAAUACUGACGCUCAGGCACGAAAGCGUGGGGAGCAAACAGGAUUAGAUACCCCCGUAGUCC
rnacentral:rRNA from 1 species